AAGCGUCUAUGAUAAACAGAGAGCAAAUUAGAAUCCAAGGAAGUUGACAUGUCAUCACUUCAUUUUUUUGGGCCUGCGCAUAAAUCUGAGAAACAAACCACAUUUGUUCCGGACCUGGAAUGCCUUCCGGACCUGGGAUCCUGCCUUCUGAUGGAGAUAAUCAAAGGACCAUGCCUUGGGACUACCUGGCUUGAUGACUCCUUGCUGUCCCCAGUUCACCUGGCCGUGCUGCUGCUCCAGUUCCAACUGUUCUGCCUGCAGCUAUGGAACCCUGACCUGUUCGCCGGACGUGCUACCUGUCCCAGACCUGCUGUCCCAGACCUGCUGGAACCCUGACCUAUUCAACGGAUGUGCUACCUGUCCCAGACCUGCUGUUUUCAACUCUCUAGAGACAGCAGGAGCGGUAGAGAUACUCUCAAAGAUCGGCUAUGAAAAAGCCAACUGACACUUACUCUUGUGUUACUGACUUGUUGCACCCUCGACAACUACUAUGAUUAUUAUUAUUUGACCAUGCUGGUCAUUUAUGAACAUUUGAACAUCUAGGCCAUGUGCUGUUAUAAUCUCCACCCGGCACAGCCAGAAGAGGACUGGCCACCCCUCAUAGCCUGGUUCCUCUCUAAGUUUGUUCCUGAUGACGCCAGUCAACAGUCGUCAUCAGAGCUGCCCGCCAGUCAACAGUCGCCAUCAGAGCUGCCCGCCAGUCAACAGUCGUCAUCAGAGCUGCCCGCCAGUCAACAGUCGUCAGAGCUGCCCGCCAGUCACCAGUCGUCAGAGCUGCCCGCCAGUCAACAGUCGUCAGAGCUGCCCGCCAGUCAACAGUCGUCAGAGCUGCCCGCCAG
rnacentral:lncRNA from 1 species